rnacentral:lncRNA from 1 species
CUGAACCAACCUUGGUAUGGUUACCUUUAUAUAUAUAUAUAUAUUCUCAUGGGUGUGAAAUGGCAUGUACAUUAACCAGAACUCAGUUAGGAAACCAGACAUGACACAAGGUAUUUUGGACAGGCAGAAUUUAGUGCAGGGAAUUGGGUGUGUAGGUUUCUGAUAGAACCAGAAAGGAAGGCGAGGUAACUCAGGGAUAGUAACUAUAGAAAGCCAGUCCUGUCCUUAGGGCUAGAGGAACAAAAGCAAAGGUAAAUGGGCAUUGGGACAGAGGAGUGCAGAGCCUGGUUCCUGCAGAGCUGGGGACCUUGGAAGGGGGCCAGCCAGCUGCUGUUAGUUUUUGGGGGGAGUGCGAGUAGGAUGAGGCUGCGAGGGGUGCAGAAGGAAAUUGGAGGCUGGAGCCAACUGCUGCGCCUGGGAUGAUGUUGGCAGGAAAGGAAGAAAUAGGAACUGAACCCCUUCUCUGCUCGCCUUCCAGUCUUCCUCAAGUGCCUCCUACGGUUGGAACCUCACAGGAAACCAGCUGGUCCCAAGUCUGGGAAGCGUCAUGUGUGGAGUCCUGGCCCUAGCAACGGCAGAACGGGGAAGGGUGGAUUCCAGCUGGGAGACAUGGGGAAAUAACCUGGAUAGCCACAUAUAUAGUCUAGGUUCUUUUUUUAUGGGUAGCUAUUUUAAAUGGUGCUCUACCAACAUCCUUGCACACACAUUUUCUUUAGAAUAAGUUUCUGGAAGCAGAAUUAUAGAGUCAGAGAAAAUGUGUAUAUUUAAGGCUUUUGGUCCAGGCUGAGAAAUUUGCUGGAGGAGUAAUUUUUGAAAGAAAGGGAGUCCCUCCCAGUGUGAUCCUGGAAACCACAUCAGAGAGCAGACAGCACUAGGGAAGGAAGGGUGUCCUUUUGCACUGAAGUGCACUUACCUGGGGACGACUUCCUGCACAUGGAAUGAGGACCAGAAGUUGUAAUUCUGACCAUCCUGUGUCCGAUGACCUUAAGCUUCUGCAUCAUUUAUAUGAAGGAUAUUAGCCUCUGAAUUCUAUAUAAGAGAUUUAUGUAUCUAUUGCCUGUUGACCACAGAAAAGCCACGGUGAGUUAUAAAGGGUCCCCACACAAGUAGAGCAGGUGAAGAUACAACUCUACAGUAUCAUGCAUGUAAUCUACCUCCCAGUGAUGGACUCUUACUCAGUAUUAAGUUAACCACGCAUGCAUCGGCUACCUUGGGCGUACAAGGACCAAGAGUGUGCAUGGGUCUGA